CAAAGCGUCGCUUUUGCAAGAGCGUCUGAGAGAGAGUUUUGCGAUCUAACGAAAUGCGAAAAAGAUAGAGAGGUGAAACCAGAUGAGAUGAAUCGUAGAUCACUAACGAUUCCGAUCAAUUCUUUGUUCUGGCUUCAAUGAGCGUUGUAUUGUCUGAGAAGACAUCAAGAUUUGUAAAACCUAGAUCCUUCGCCGAUCCAAAAAAUGCCAAAAGAUCUAGAGCUUCUGCGAUCAAAGAGGAGGCGACAUACUCAUGUACGAUCAAGUCUUCAAUUGGUUUAGCUAAGGAAACUCCUAAGAAAUUCCAAGCUAGUCCUGCAACAUUCCGAGUCUUGUCCCAAGCUGCAUCCGUCUUGCAUGCUAUCGAUCUGUCAUGUAUCAAGGCGUUCGUGGUGUUGUGACUCUGGUCUUUUGAUCUUCCAGAUAAAGGAUAAGAUGAUGGCUACGAAAAAAAUUGUGGUGGUGGAUAGCAGAGGUUAUGAAUUUGGUGAUGGUCCUUGGGAUGGAAGCUAUGGUAAUGGUGGUCAAUUGAUGAAUGUGGUUAUGGAAGAGAUGAUGAUUAUUACGAGGUGUGGUGAAUAGGGCGGAAGAGAUGGUAGUUGUUACGAAUGAUAAAUAUAAAAACGAAGAUUGCUGAUUUGAUUAAUAAAUGAAAGAGUGAUGAUGAGGUGAUAAAGCCCACAUGAUCAAAAGGUUAUUGCAAAAAAUGAUGGUGAAUUGGAAGAAACGACAGGUAGGUAGGUAUCUGAAAGAAAAAAAAGUUAUAUCUUUAUAUAUAAAAUAGUCUUUUAAUCUCUCCUGAGGUGUCCAGCUAGGAUGCCAUGUCAUAAAUAGUAGCUCUGCUGCGUCGACACAUCAGAUUAAUGAUACUCCGCGUAUUGAGCUUUACUUUUGACGCUGCUUCAUAUGGGCUUUGCCUUCUGCGACCCAGAAAACCUUUGCAUCCAACCCUAAUCACUCUUCACUUCUUCCCUUUCGCUUUCUCUGUACCUCUCAGACGGCGAUCGAUUGUGAUUCUGUAACGGCUGUGAUUACUGCGUACUUACUCCCAGCGUUUUGAUUCGUCGUCUGUGUGUAUAAAAAGUGAAGAGCAUAAAGUAUCAAUCUUCAGGAAGGUUGUCAAUGGAUUCCGACAUGGUGGAGAUCGCUCCUCCUGUGUUUGCUUGGGGUUCGACAACUCUAGAAAUCCAAAAAGAAGGGUUUUCCGGCGAUGAGUGUUCUCCCGCCAUAUCAAAGUUUGCCUGCCGUAAAGGUUGCCUUUUUCAUUUGCUCUCUGCACAUUUCUGUUGAAUCUAUUUGGUUAGUUGAGAUGCAGAAGCUUCAGAUUUGAUUUAUUUGUUGAUGCGUUGAGUCUGAUUGAGAUAACAACAUCGUCUUUACUUUUGCCUUUGCUAUGAAUUUGUGAGUGUGAGUGUGAGUGUGUGUGUUGAGGUGCCUUUGAUUUUAGUUUUGGCUUUAUGUGUCUUGGGUUGAAGAGGGCUGUGACACUUUGUCGGGGGGGGGGGGGGGGGGGGGAGUAUUUGUGAAACACAAUUCUAAGUCAAUGGAUCUAGGCUUCCAUGAUCAGCCUGCUGCACAAGCAAUCACUUCACGGACUAUGGGUUGCAAUCUUUAAACGUCAACACUAAACACCUUACAAAGUCCAGAAUUGAAUUUUGAUCUUCUAUUCUGUUUUCUUCUUCAUGGAUGAUAACUAGCUUGGAAACUAACAACAGUUGCUGAUAUGCUCAUUUUAAUUUCCUCAGUGAUGGAAUCUCAGCAGGGAGGUCUGGAAACUGUUCCUCUUACGCCUUGAUCCAGUUCACAAUCUAUUUUGUCCACGGGCAGAGCUCUUAUCAUCGUUGAGGCAGGGCUCAGCAGCUGCUCCUAGAACGCUGAGGACUGUGUGGCUCAAGCUGCGAUUUUUUAUCUAUGGCGUCAACGCAACAACAUUCUUCACAAUCAGCAGUCAAUAACGGUGAUAAGUUUGUUUAGAGUCAACGAUCGAGAAGUGUGUGACAUCAUUUUGGGAAGAAGGCAUAUACGGCAAUUUCAUAACUUAUUAUCUGUUUGGAUAAGCUAAUCUCUUGAGAGCACUGCUCUGUUUUGUACUGGCUUCCUAUUUUCUCUUUAUUUUUGCCAUGGAGUUCAAUUAGAAUAUGUUCUUGCAUUUGUAGUUUCCGAUUUCAUUUUUCAAUGGUAUUAACAUAUUUUAGCAAAAUAAUAAUAAUAAUAAUCCCAGAUUUUACAACA